GUCGUCAGGAUCUGCGGUCCAGCUGAAGCAACCGUUCCUUCAUUCCCACUGGGGGAUUAUAACAAAAUACAAGCAACUACAGGAAAGAAAAACUACAAGAGGAGUACAAGGAAAAUAACAAACCUACACCAUAACCCAACAAGUGACUAAGUCACUCCCUCAUGUAAGCAAUGACUGCUAUUUCCAACAUGCGAAGCAAGACUCCAGACUGAUGCCACCUGACCUGCUGAGAUCCUCCAGCAAUUUAUGUAUGCUGCUCAAGAGAAACUAAGU